CUGCACCACGUUGUGGGAGUCGGGAAUCAAUCCCACAUCUGGAUAGAAAGCCGCUGAACCAUCCAUCUCUGAUUUUUUUUCAUGACAUCCCUCUGUGUAGCGCGUCCCCCCAACCUCCGCCCACAAAAACACACCCUACCCGUUUUACAUUGUUUUCUUCAAAGACCUGGCCUGGAAGCCCAGUCAAAGAAAAGUGAACCAUAGAGACACCACUUAGUCCUCCUGGGCGCCUAGAGGGACCCAGGAUUGGAGGGGCCUCUCUGCAUCCACAACGGGGGCGGGCUGAUGACGCACUUCCGGUCUCUUUUGUUUUUCUUCUGGAACCUGCGCACGACAGUGCCGGGUUUGGGUUUGAGCUGUUGCAUCUACGUUUUCGGGGAGACAGUGGCCGUGCACCCCGCUUUCCGGGAAUCUCAUCGUGUUCUCGGGGGCCCGGAGUACAUGUCCAAGCCUGUGAUGGCAGCUGGUUGCGCGGUGGUCGUGGUAAAGGCGGAAGCGGAGGUAGAGGAAGAAGAUGAGGAGGAGGACUCCAAGGACUGGCGGGACCCUGAGACCUCCCGGAGACGCUUCCGGCGGCUGCGCUACGGGGACGUGUCCGGCCCGGAGGAGGCGCUGAGCCGCCUGCGGGAGCUGUGCCGCCGCUGGCUGCGGCCCGAGCGGCGCUCCAAGGAGCAGAUGGUGGAGCUGCUGGUCCUCGAGCAGUUCCUCAGCAUCCUCCCGCGCAGGCUGCGGGACACCGUGCGCCACCGGCGCCCCGAGAGCGGGGAGGAGGCGGCGGCCUGGGCGCGAGCCCUGCACCCUCCCGAGCGACAGGUCCGGUCCUCCCAGCAGGGCAGGCCGACAUUCAAGGCUGAGGCCAGAUCUCCAACCCAGGGAGAGUGGGAGCAGCUGGCCGUGGCUCGGAACGGCUUGUGCAGAGAGAGCUUGGAGGAUGGUGAGAGCACGGCCGGGCCGGGCCUGGAUACCCGAGCUGCCUGGAACCUGGACCUAAUUCCAAAGCAGGAAGACGACUGGGAGGAGGAGGCUGAGCCUGCACAGGCCUGGCUACAAGGCUCGCCCUGGGACACGAUCCCCAGCCAGGAAGAGAAGCUGCCAAAAGAUGCUGUCUUGCCUCCACCACAGCCCCAGGUUUCUCCAGGAGAGGCAGGAUAUAGGGCUACCUCCCAGGCCCCCUGCGGGGCCAAGGAGGAAGAGCUUUGGAGAAGUGGAGAGCCGGGGCACACGGUCACCUGGAAAGUCCCCUGCGUGGUCAAGGAGGAAGAGCUUUGGAGAAGUAACGAUUUUAGGGAGGUUGCCACUGCCCCUGCCCUUGCUCAGCACAAGGGGACAGUAGAGCCUGUUGACAACUUUAGGGACAUUGCUGUCGUCUCAAUCCUAGCUCAGCACAGGGAGACAGCAGAGCUUGGCGAUGACUUUAGGAAGGUUGCCACCACCCUGGUCCUUGCUCAGGCUGGGCCUGGGGAGGACCACAGCCAUGGAUGUGUCCCGGGGACACCCCAGUCCUCCUUGGACACUCAGGGCCCCCCUGGAGACAAGCGUUACCGAUGUGCCUGUUGCGGGAAGGGAUUCCGCUAUCGCUGCUACCUCCUCAAGCAUGAGCGCACGCACAUGGGAGAGACGCCAUACCCGUGCCGGGUGUGCGCCAAGAGCUUCCGCCAGCGCCGCCACCUCCUGACCCAUGAGCGCACGCAUACCAAGGAGCAGCCGUACUCAUGUUCUCCGUGCGGGGAGCACUUCCACCUUCGCUGCCACCUUCUAAAGCACGAGCACACGCAUAUUGGGCAGAAGCCGUAUGCAUGUCCAUUGUGCACAAAGAGCUUCGGCAAGAGUUCAAACUUGGUCAGACACCUGCGCACACACACCGGGGAGAGGCCCUUCAUGUGCCCCACGUGCCCCAAGAGUUUCAGUGAGCGCGCCAUCCUCCUUAACCACCUGCGCACACACACCGGGGAGAGGCCGUACAGGUGUCCAGCGUGCACCAAGAGCUUCAAAGACAGGGCCAACCUGGCCAGGCACCUGCGCACGCACCCCGGGAAGCAGCAGAACCCUGUCCUUGCUCAGCACAGGGGGACAGCAGAGCCUGGCGAUGUCUUUGCGGAGGUGGCCACCACCCCGGUCCUUGCUCAGGUCGAGGGUGGGGAGGGCCACAGCCUGGUCUCCCUCGGGGGAUGCGCCCUGGGGACCCCCCAGUCGUCUGAGAACAGUCAGAGACCCCCUGGAGACAAGCCUUACAGAUGCGCCAGCUGUGGGAAGGGCUUCCGCUAUCGCUGCCACUUCCUCAAGCAUGAGCGCACACACACCGGGGAGAAGCCUUAUGCAUGCCCGUCAUGUGCCAAGACCUUCAGCAGGAGCGAUCAACUGGCCACGCACCAGCGCACGCACAGCGGGGAGAGGCCAUACACAUGUCAGACGUGCACCAAGAGCUUCCGAGAGCGCUCUGUCCUCCUCAGGCACGAGCGCACACACACCGGGGUGAAGCCAUACACGUGCCCAGCAUGCGCCAGGAGCUUUCGCCAUCGCUCCGUCCUCCUCAACCACGAGCGCACUCACACCGGAGAGAGACCAUACUCAUGUCCAGCUUGUGGGGAGCGCUUCCGCCAGCGCAGCCACCUUCUCACCCAUGAGCGUACGCAUACCGGGGAGAGGCGGUACACGUGUCCAGUGUGCGCCAAGAGCUUCCGCCAGCGCCGGCAACUUCUUAAGCACGAGCGCAUGCACACGGGGGAGAGGCCGUACCCAUGCCCAUCAUGCACCAAGAGCUUCGACAAGAGGGCCAAACUGGUGGAGCACGAGCGCACACACACCGGGGAGAAGCCAUACUCGUGCCCGGCGUGUGCCAAGAGCUUCAGCAGGAGGGGCAACCUGGUCCAGCACCUGAGCAUGCACACCGGGGAGCGGCCAUAUCCAUGCCCAGCAUGCAACAAGAGCUUCCGCCACCGCAGCCACCUCCUCAAGCACGAGCGCACGCACACCGGGGAGAAGCCAUACUCGUGCCAGACGUGCACCAAGAGCUUCAGCAGGAGAGACAACCUGGCCACACACUUGCGCACGCACAGCGGGGAACGGCCAAUCCCUGUCCUAGCUCAGCACAGGGGGUCAGCAGAGCCUGGUGAUGACUUUGGUGAGGUUGCCACCACCCCGUCCUUGCUCAGACUGAGCCUUGGGAGGACUACAGCUGGGGCUCCUGUGGAAUAUGUGCCCCAGGGACCUCCCCAAACCCCCGCUGAGACAUUUUCAAGACCUAGGCCGGAUCUCCAACCUGGGGGGAGUGGGAGCAGCUGGCAAUGGCCAGGAACUGCUCUUGCAGAGAGCUCUAAGGAUUGCAAGAGCAUGACCUGGCCAGGCCUGGAGACCCGGCUGCCUGGAACCCCGACCUGAUCCCAAAGCAGAAGGAGGACUGGAAGGCGGAGGCCGAGCCUGUGCAGGCCUGGGUACAAGGAAUGCAGGAGCCCAGCACGGUCCCCUAAGGGGCGGAGUCUACUUCCCGAGAGCCUCUUUUCGCUCCCUUCCCGGCAUCCCCGGGUGCGACCGGUCCGUGCUUUCCUUCCGCCGGGGGCGGGGUCUGUUUCCCCCAAAACAGCAGACUCCGCGUGAGUGCUUUACGGUCUCCGGAGCAUCUUUCCCUUGCAAAGGAUGCAGGAGCCGAACGUGGUCCCAAAGAGGCGGGGUGAGGAGCGGUGGGGGCGGGGCCUGCGCCUGCUUCCCGUGAGCCGCUUUGCUCUCCCUUCCUAGCCUCCCCAGCUCGCGACCAGCCCUGCGACACUGGGGACUGCAAGAUGGCUUUGCUCGUCAGUGCCAGUAGCCAGCAGGCCCGGUCCUGAGGGUCUCUGGAACCAUCCCCACCACCCUGAUGAAGAUGAUGGCUGGAGCUGAGAAGAUGGUGCCGCAGACGCCUGACGGUCUCAUGUCCUCAUCAUCUCUCCCUCCUUCCUCAUCACCCCUCCCUCCCCAUCAUCCCUUCCUUCCUCAUCUCCACCCUGCCCCUCUGCUAAGUCCACUGCUAGGGGAGGUCUUGCUCCCCUUCCAUCUAACCCUAACCUAUCAGGUCUCAUCAGGACUGGCUGCAGUGUCUCUCUUGGGGGGCAGGGGGGUUCAAAGAACCCUCCGCCGAGUUCAUGUCAGCAACAGUCCCUUGGUGUCAAGCUUUCGCACCUCCAUGUGAAUACACUCUUACAAGCCAGGCACCGUGGCACAGGCCCAUGAUCCCAGCAUCCGGGAAGCUGAGCUACAACGACCACGGUGGCCUGAGCUUCAUGUCCAAGCGGUGUCCCCAAGCAGAGUGUCCAGCGCAACAUGUCAGCCAUGGACAAGAGGGCCACCAUUGAGGACCGAAACUCCACAGCCCUGGAGAUGCUGCACCAGAACAGCAUCACCCAGGUGUCCAUUUACAAAGUGGACAAGCAGGACUGUUGCACAUUCUGCACCACUGGCAUCAAUGGGGCCAUGAGGAUCUGAGAUUUCAAGUUGACCUAGAGGCCAGCAUUGGUGCUGAUAUCCUGAUAUCACAAGGCGAUGGAGUACCAUAUGUCCCUUUUGCCAGAGGCAAGGAAAAUUACUUCUCUUGCUGUGUCGAGACCUGUCCCAAGAGAAUCCAUAUUUACCCACAUGGAAGCCUAUGAGGAGUAUACCACCGAUGGAUUAUACUGAACCUUGCUAUGCCAAGGCUCCAUGAAACUCAGAUGAGACAGAACAAGAAAAAAACUCCAUCUCUCCUUGUUCAAUGAUGUCUUGGUUAUGACUAAUAACCUAGCCAUGAACGAUGCCAAGAAGGGAAACAGGAAACCUCUUCCACUGAAGAUAAUCAUUGAGGACAUCUACGGAGAUCUUAGCUUUGAGCAAAUGUCCUUCAACUGUACCUGCAGAUGUUCCCCCAUGAAUAGGAUAAUUAAUUAACAUAUCUGCCUUGUAAUAGUACUGUGAUACUACAUGCAAAUGAGCUACUGUACCAUAACAUAUAAAUCAACUAUCCAUAGCAUCUCUAUCCCCAGGGAAUCAAACACAUGUACCCUUUAAAUCCCUCCCAUGGCCCAACAUUUAUAAAUCCUUGAUAUUGCACGAACAAAACGUGUUUUGUGAUAUAAUCAGCUGUCCACCAUGGUUACUUGAAAUUUGUCAGUCAUUUAUUCUGGGGAGAGGGAGUACGCCCCUCCUCCCUGGAAAUUUGCCACUGAAUUUUCAGGGCUUGGCCACCAGCUAUGGUGACUGGAUAGUGCAAUAUAUCCACAAAACUGUUGACCUCAGGUGAAGCACCCACUGGGCUGAGACCUACCUUUCAGUCCAAGAGGCCUGCACCUCACUGUAUCUGCCUCCUGGCUUGUUGGACCUGAGCCUGGUCAGGCCUGUGAUUUUUCUGCAAUCCCACACCAAAGAGAUGGAACACUUCCACAUAAUCACAGGCACUUAUGUGUAAUACCAAAAACCUCAUUUAAAAAAACUGUAACACCUGUUGUAAACCUCAUUUCCACCUCCCACAGUGAGACGAUGUGCCUGGCCUAGAACACAGGCCUUGAGCUUGAACUAGUUUUCUUCCUUGAGCAGACUAAGUUGUUUUAUAGAGAAAUGGCACCUACAGUCUCAGGAUCCCUCUGUUCUUUGUCCAGAAACUGAGACCUGGUUCCAAAAAUACCACCGGAUGAAAAAAUGACACUCAGUGCUUUGUGAGAACAUGAAAAUAUUUAAAAAGAAAUCAAGUAAUAAACAUUCAUAAAAUAUUA